UUUACACUGCACGAGAGUGCGAUAAGGGGACUCCAAGUGCGAGGGCAUAUAGUCCUCGCUUUUCACCACCGUAAGGUGGUGGUGGAAUAAGUGCUGGGCAAGACCGGUGCCAGCCGCCGCGGUAAUACCGGCAGCACGAGUGAUGACCGCUAUUAUUGGGCCUAAAGCGUCCGUAGCUGGCCGUGCAAGUCCAUCGGGAAAUCCGCGCGCUUAACGCGCGGGCGUCCGGUGGAAACUGCAUGGCUUGGGACCGGAAGACCAGAGGGGUACGUCCGGGGUAGGAGUGAAAUCCCGUAAUCCUGGACGGACCACCGGUGGCGAAAGCGCCUCUGGAAGACGGAUCCGACGGUGAGGGACGAAAGCUCGGGUCACGAACCGGAUUAGAUACCCGGGUAGUCCGAGCUGUAAACGAUGUCUGCUAGGUGUGGCACAGGCUACGAGCCUGUGCUGUGCCGCAGGGAAGCCGCGAAGCAGACCGCCUGGGAAGUACGUCCGCAAGGAUGAAACUUAAAGGAAUUGGCGGGGGAGCAC
rnacentral:rRNA from 1 species